UGACUGUUAAUAUGUUCAGUGUAAUUUUAGCGCUUAAGGGCCUGAUUGGACGCUUUAGCGGGCUGGUUUUGGACCAUGAAACACAUAU